rnacentral:rRNA from 1 species
UACAGAGGGGGCAAGCGUUAUUCGGAAUUAUUGGGCGUAAAGGGCGCGUAGGUGGCGCCGUAAGUCAGGUGUGAAAUUUCGGAGCUUAACUCCGAAACUGCAUUUGAUACUGCGGUGCUUGAGGACUGGAGAGGAGACUGGAAUUUACGGUGUAGCAGUGAAAUGCGUAGAGAUCGUAAGGAAGACCAGUGGCGAAGGCGGGUCUCUGGACAGUUCCUGACACUGAGGCACGAAGGCCAGGGGAGCAAACGGG